GAUGAACGCUGGCGGCGUGCCUAAUACAUGCAAGUCGAGCGAAUGGAUUAAGAGCUUGCUCUUAUGAAGUUAGCGGCGGACGGGUGAGUAACACGUGGGUAACCUGCCCAUAAGACUGGGAUAACUCCGGGAAACCGGUGCUAAUACCGGAUAACAUUUUGAACCGCAUGGUGCGAAAUUGAAAGGCGGCUUCGGCUGUCACUUAUGGAUGGACCCGCGUCGCAUUAGCUAGUUGGUGAGGUAACGGCUCACCAAGGCAACGAUGCGUAGCCGACCUGAGAGGGUGAUCGGCCACACUGGGACUGAGACACGGCCCAGACUCCUACGGGAGGCAGCAGUAGGGAAUCUUCCGCAAUGGACGAAAGUCUGACGGAGCAACGCCGCGUGAGUGAUGAAGGCUUUCGGGUCGUAAAACUCUGUUGUUAGGGAAGAACAAGUGCUAGUUGAAUAAGCUGGCACCUUGACGGUACCUAACCAGAAAGCCACGGCUAACUACGUGCCAGCAGCCGCGGUAA
rnacentral:rRNA from 1 species